rnacentral:rRNA from 1 species
UACGUAGGGGCUAGCGUUGUCCGGAAUCAUUGGGCGUAAAGAGCGUGUAGGCGGCUCGGUAAGUCCGCUGUAAAAGUCAAAGGCUCAACCUUUGAAUGUCAGUGGAUACUGCCGGGCUAGAGUCCGGAAGAGGCGAGUGGAACUCCUGGUGUAGCGGUGGAAUGCGCAGAUAUCAGGAAGAACACCAACGGCGAAGGCAGCUCGCUGGGACGGUACUGACGCUAAGACGCGAAAGCGUGGGGAGCGAACAGG